AUGGCGGGAUGGCGUCACGGAAGUAGAACUGUUCAAGUUCAAAGUUCAAAGUUGAAAUGCACCUCUGCACCUGUAGCAUACAGGAUUAAUGGAGGUGAAAGUAUGUUUUGUUUGUUUGUGAGUAGUUAUAAAGUUUGAUAUCUGCAGAGGCAUAUUCUCCCAAAAAAAUGAAUCUAUAAUCAAACUACUAAAUUUAUAUUUACGUGUUGUGUCGUCGAUUACACUGAACAAUGUUAAGAGCAGAAGCAGCGCCAUUACAGUGUCUGGAUACAUAUAAGUGGAUUUUUUAAUUAUUGAGAACAUGUAAAACCUCAUCAGAUUUUGAAACAGCCUUUGAAUUUAGAAAAAAGACAUUGGCGAAUAUUAUUCCAAAUCUUGAUCUAAUGUGUAAAUGGAGUAAUGUACUCCCUAAAGUAUUGUUAAUAUUAAAUGUUUUUUGUGUU